rnacentral:rRNA from 1 species
UACGUAGGUCGCAAGCGUUGUCCGGAUUUACUGGGCGUAAAGAGCGCGCAGGCGGCUGGUCAAGUCCGAUGUGAAAUCUCCCGGCUCAACUGGGAAACUGCAUCGGAAACUGAUCGGCUUGAAGGUGGGAGAGGGUAGUGGAAUUCCCGGUGUGGUGGUGAAAUGCGUAGAUAUCGGGAGGAACACCAGUGGCGAAGGCGACUACCUGGCCCAUUCUUGACGCUGAGGCGCGAAAGCUAGGGGAGCGAACGGG